UUUUUUUUUUUUUUUUUUUUUUUUUUUUUUUUCCACAUGUCUGGCACACGGCACUGUAAUCAAGAGGGGGCGG
rnacentral:ribozyme from 13 species